CAAUAGCGUAUAUUAAAGUUGUUGCAGUUAAAAAGCUCGUAGUUGGAUUUCUGGCAGGAGCGACCGGUCACACACUCUGUGUGUGAACUUGUGUUGUCUCUGGCCAUCCUUGGGGAGAUCCUGUUUGGCAUUAAGUUGUCGGGCAGGGGACAUCCAUCGUUUACUGUGAAAAAAUUAGAGUGUUUAAAGCAGGCUUAUGCCGUUGAAUAUAUUAGCAUGGAAUAAUAAGAUAGGACUUCGGAACUAUUUUGUUGGUUUGCGUUACGAAGUAAUGAUUAAUAGGGACAGUUGGGGGUAUUCGUAUUUCGUUGUCAGAGGUGAAAUUCUUGGAUUUCCGAAAGACGAACUACUGCGAAAGCAUUUGCCAAGGAUGUUUUCAUUA
rnacentral:rRNA from 1 species